rnacentral:rRNA from 1 species
CCUACGGGAGGCAGCAGUGGGGAAUAUUGGACAAUGGGCGAAAGCCUGAUCCAGCAAUGCCGCGUGAGUGAUGAAGGCCUUAGGGUUGUAAAGCUCUUUUACCAGGAUGAUAAUGACAGUACCUGGAGAAUAAGCUCCGGCUAACUCCGUGCCAGCAGCCGCGGUAAUACGGAGGGAGCUAGCGUUGUUCGGAAUUACUGGGCGUAAAGCGUACGUAGGCGGUUAUUCAAGUCAGAGGUGAAAGCCUGGAGCUCAACUCCAGAACUGCCUUUGAAACUAGAUAGCUAGAAUCUUGGAGAGGCGAGUGGAAUUCCGAGUGUAGAGGUGAAAUUCGUAGAUAUUCGGAAGAACACCAGUGGCGAAGGCGACUCACUGGACAAGUAUUGACGCUGAGGUACGAAAGCGUGGGGAGCAAACAGGAUUAGAUACCCUAGGUAGUCCACGCCGUAAACGAUGAUAACUAGCUGUUCGGGCUCUACGAGCUUGAGUGGCGCAGCUAACGCAUUAAGUUAUCCGCCUGGGGAGUACGGUCGCAAGNUUAAAACUCAAAGGAAUUGAAGG